GAUGAACGCUGGCGGCGUGCCUAAUACAUGCAAGUAGAACGCUGAAGGAAGGAGCUUGCUCUUUCCGGAUGAGUUGCGAACGGGUGAGUAACGCGUAGGUAACCUGCCUGGUAGCGGGGGAUAACUAUUGGAAACGAUAGCUAAUACCGCAUAACAGUAGAUGUUGCAUGAUAUCUACUUAAAAGGUGCAAUUGCACCACUACCAGAUGGACCUGCGUUGUAUUAGCUAGUUGGUGAGGUAACGGCUCACCAAGGCGACGAUACAUAGCCGACCUGAGAGGGUGAUCGGCCACACUGGGACGGAGACACGGCCCAGACUCCUACGGGAGGCAGCAGUAGGGAAUCUUCGGCAAUAGACGGAAGUCUGACCGAGCAACGCCGCGUGAGUGAAGAAGGUUUUCGGAUCGUAAAGCUCUGUUGUAAGAGAAGAACGAGUGUGAGAGUGGAAAGUUCACACUGUGACGGUAUCUUACCAGAAAGGGACGGCUAACUACGUG
rnacentral:rRNA from 1 species